AUGGCCACGUUUGCUGUUCUGCAUACAGGCUGCUUUGACAAAAGAGCAGGAUCGUCACAAGAUAUAAAAAGCACAGGAGAGAAGGACUGCUGGUGUGCAGCUACUUCAGCCCCAAGAGCAAAUCUUCACAAGCCCAGGAUGCAAAAACAAUGCGUACUGCUUGUUUUCUUGCCCAGAACCCUGUCUGUACAAGCAGCCCCAGGAAUACGUGCCAAUGCUGAUCAAUACACAUCAAUGAAACGACCCAUUUCAUUAGCAGCAGAGCUCUGGAGGCAGCCUCUCUCACUGCAAGCUGGCUGGGUGCCACGAUGAGCUGCUUUCAAUCUCACCUUCUGCAACUUGCUGCAUAACUGGCAGACAACAGAUGAAAAUUCAGGUAGACUGUGUUAAUUCCAUCAUUAAUUUUACUGAAAGAAAGGCAACUUGGGAAAUAAAACACUUCCUCAAUUUCUCCUCUUGAAUAUGUGGAAUUCAAGUCAAAAGCUGGAAGGUUUUGUAGCAUACGACACCAUAUAACUCCCAACAAUGACGACGAGCAACACUGACAAUAAGGCUCUGGCAACUUGGGAUAUCGCUGUAUUGGCUGAAACCUAAAAGCAGCAGGCUUUGGACCUGACAUUGCUCAGCCCACACCAUGUCUGAGGCUACAGCCAGCGUAACUAGAAGCUGAGCACACUCUGCUUCUCUGCUUCCAUCUGCCUAAGUCCCAGGUGCAGAAGCCAAAGCCGUAACUCAUGAGGUUUACCGCUGACCUGUCAUUUGGAUGACUGCUCCAAGCAACGAGUACCAGAUAAUGAAAAAUUGUGGGGAGAAACAGGGAUUUAUAGAACCAAGUGAACGUGCAAAAACGAGCUUUAGCAAUUACGGUUUAACGAGGCUGUCACUGACCAGAAUCAAUCAGCAGCAGUCAGAAGAGUGAACUUGUACCAGGCUAAUCAGAAGUGACAAAAGAAACUUGCUUUGGAAAGGACUCCUGGAACAGGUCACCCUUGACAGCCAUGAGCAAAAGCCUACAAAGGCACCGCGUUUUGCUGCAUGCCAAUGGCAUGCUCAGACGUCAGCACCACAAUCUGCACGGAUAAUUCCCUGCUCGAAAGACCUCUCCAGCUCUGCAGCCCUGCAGGACCUGCGCUCAGUUCUGGACUUGCUGCUGCUUCAAUGCUAGCCUGGUGUAGGGAGGCCUGAGAUCUGUGAUGGUUGCUGUUAACAAACAGCCAUUUCAGUGAGCUGCUUUCACUUCUCUGCAGAAGCAAAAUCAUAGCCUUCUGCGAUUGAAAACAGAGUAAGGAAGAUGCACUAUAUGCAUCUCAGUAGCCAAGGGUACAAAUGAAACUGGGCUGGUACACAGUUAAUGCCAAAGAUGAUUAAAAAAUAGGCAGAGAAGACGUCAGGGUAGCAAAAGAGGAAAACGGAGAAGGAAAGACCUGCAGGAUGAGUGGAUAAGGAAAUGUCAAAACAGAAAUUCUGGGGACAGCAUGUGAGAAAAUAGUAUGUGCAAAGGGGAAAGGAAAAUGAGCAUGGAAGUAGAAAAAGAGACACAAUAAAAAUGAACUAAAAAACAAAACAGCAAAUAUUUGGCAAGCACAGAGUGGAACACCGAGCUGUCUGUCAGCAUCCCUACGCUGCACCUCAGAUACCAAGGAUUUCAGCCUGGCUGCCUCUGCAUCUCGUUUGCAGCGUUCUGUUGCAUUUGUUAAGAUAAAGCUAAUCCUCUCUGUAUUGUUCCCAUUUGAAACUGGAAGCAACUUUUUAAAAUGUUGAACAAUACAGUAGAAGAGAGAUAAGCUGCUUUAUCUGCCACACUCAGCCGCAAGCCUCACCCACAGACAGCUAAACCUACAUUUCACUGUUACAGC
rnacentral:lncRNA from 1 species